rnacentral:pre_miRNA from 1 species
UAAGUACUCCCUCCGUUCUGAAUUACUUGUCUUGAAAAUGAAUGUAUCUAGAACUAAAAUAUGUCUAGAUACAUCCAUUUUUGCAACAAGUAAUUCCGAACAGAAGGAGUACUAU